ACGAGACCUCAGCCUGCUAAAUAGUUACAUCAAACUUAGUUUGACGAUAGCUUCUUAGAGGGACUAUCAGUGUUUAACUGAUGGAAGUUUGAGGCAAUAACAGGUCUGUGAUGCCCUUAGAUGUUCUGGGCCGCACGCGCGUUACACUGAUGCACUCAACGAGUCUACCUUGGCCGAGAGGCCUGGGAAAUCUUGUUAACUUGCAUCGUGAUAGGGAUAGAUUAUUGCAAUUAUUAAUCUUGAACGAGGAAUUCCUAGUAAACGCAGAUCAUCAAUCUGCAUUGAUUACGUCCCUGCCCUUUGUACACACCGCCCGUCGCACCUACCGAUUGAAUGGUCCGGUGAAGCCUCGGGAUUGCGAUGAGUUUCCUUCAUUGGGAGUUUGUCGCGAGAACCUGUCUAAACC
rnacentral:rRNA from 1 species